GAAAAAAUAGGUAAGAUUAGAUUAUUAGAUUUCUAUUGACUGAAUUGCAGAUUGAAAACUUAAUCAGAGAACCAGGCAGUGAGCUUAGAAACAUUAGUUUAUUAACAUUAACCUGUGCAUUCUUCAUUAAUUAUUGACUCGCUUCAGAAAAAAACAUUUUAUUGUAGCUGGACGUAAGAUUUUUUGAUAAUAUUAGUUAUCGAUAGUAUUGUCGGACUUAUCGAUAAAUAUUGCUAGCUUUGUUAUCGAUAUUAUUUAUUGUAUCGAUGAUAUUGUUGCAACACUACUGUAAACAGAGUUGGAAUAGCUGGUAUUUCAACUUAACCAGUCAAACAGUUGAUAAUCAAACAAUAAUUAAAGUGACUAUUAAUUAUUUAAUCAUAUAAUUAACUUCAAUUAAUAAGUAUUUAAAAUAGUUAAUAAAGAAGGCUUAAAAAGGCUGCCUCUUUAAUUCCUCCUCGUCACAUCGCAUGCCUAAAUUACACAUAAUUACAAACUAUAACAUAUCAAGACCAAUGUCAAGUUGAAUUGUGAUAGCUUAACUUCCAAGUCGAUUCCAGUUGGUUUGAAAAUAGACAACACAUUUUGAAAAGGCAGUUGCUGAAAUAAACCAUUGGAUUCAUUCAUCUAUCCUAUCAAGCAAAAUUAUGAUAAGAGCAAUGACAGUAGGAUAGACAUAAUAAUGAUAGACAUUUAUUUAUUGUCUAUUGGUGCGUUAAAGCCGAAACAUGGAAUUUAAUCAAGGUUCAAGCUGAAGUUGCAAUGUUAUUGUUACUGUUAAUUGCAAAUUCAAGGAGAUAAUCAGCCACCUUAAGGCUAAGAGAUACAUUGAAAGUCAAUUGGAUUGUCGACAAAAAAUUAAUGAGCAAUUUAGUUGUUUUUUAUAAGGAGGACCUGCAAAUGGAUAGGGAAAAUCUCCUCUUAGGAUAUUUUUAUGAAAUGAACUUUUUUUAAUAUAAUUUUUUAUGCUGAUUC